rnacentral:rRNA from 1 species
GAUGAACGCUGGCGGCGUGCCUAACACAUGCAAGUCGAGCGAUUCUCUUCGGAGAAGAGCGGCGGACGGGUGAGUAACGCGUGGGUAACCUGCCCUGUACACACGGAUAACAUACCGAAAGGUAUGCUAAUACGAGAUAAUAUGCUUUUAUCGCAUGGUAGAAGUAUCAAAGCUUUUGCGGUACAGGAUGGACCCGCGUCUGAUUAGCUAGUUGGUAAGGUAACGGCUUACCAAGGCGACGAUCAGUAGCCGACCUGAGAGGGUGAUCGGCCACAUUGGAACUGAGACACGGUCCAAACUCCUACGGGAGGCAGCAGUGGGGAAUAUUGCACAAUGGGCGAAAGCCUGAUGCAGCAACGCCGCGUGAGCGAUGAAGGCCUUCGGGUCGUAAAGCUCUGUCCUCAAGGAAGAUAAUGACGGUACUUGAGGAGGAAGC